GCCGCCCCUACUGGGAAGUGAGGAGCCCCUCUGCCCGGCCACCACCCCGUCUGGGAGGUGUGCCCAACAGCUCAUUGAGAACGGGCCAGGAUGACAAUGGAGGCUUUGUGGAAUAGAAAGGCGGGAAAGGUGGGGAAAAGAUUGAGAAAUCGGAUGGUUGCCGUGUCUGUGUAGAAAGAAGUAGACAUGGGAGACUUUUCAUUUUGUUCUGCACUAGGAAAGGUUCCUCUGCCUUGGGAUCCUGUUGAUCUGUGACCUUACCCCCAACCCUGUGCUCUCUGAAACAUGUGCUGUGUCCACUCAGGGUUAAAUGGAUUAAGGGCGGUGCAAGAUGUGCUUUGUUAAACAGAUGCUUGAAGGCAGCAUGCUCGUUAAGAGUCAUCACCAAUCCCUAAUCUCAAGCAAUCAGGGACACAAACACUGCGGAAGCCCGCAGGGUCCUCUGCCUAGGAAAACCAGAGACCUUUGUUCACUUGUUUAUCUGCUGACCUUCCCUCCACUAUUGUCCCAUGACCCUGCCAAAUCCCCCUCUGAGAAACACCCAAGAAUUAUCAAUAAAAAAAAAUAAAUUAAAAAAAUAAAUAAAUAAAAAUAAAAAUAGGAAAAAAAAAAAGAAAAAGCAGCUGGGCGCGGUGGCUCACGCCUGUAAUCCCAGCACUUUGGGAGGCCAAGGUGGGCGGAUCACCUGAUGUCAGGAGUUCGAGACCAGCCUGACCAACAUGGAGAAACCUCGUCUCUACUAAAAACACAAAAAAUUAGCCGGGCGUGGUGGCGCAUGCCUGUAAUCCCAGCUACUCGGGAGGCUGAGGCAGGAGAAUCGCUUGAACCUAGGAGGCAGAGGUUGCAGUGAGCUGAGAUCGCACCACUGCACCCCAGCCUGGGCAAUAAGAGUGAAACUCCAUCUCAAAAAAAAAAAAAAAAAAAAAAAGGUACAUGAAACAUAUGAAGCAAAAAGUGAAAGUCCCCAUUCUUUUCCUUUUUCCAGAGGUGAUUUUUGUGGCCAAUCUGGUUUCAUUCCCUCCCAGACACUUUUCUAGGCAUCUAUGUGCCUCUAUUCACAUAUAAACAAAAUAGGAGUUUUCCUGUGCUUCCCUUAAAUGGCAUAUGUAUCUUUCACUCUUUUUUUUCACCUAGUGGAUCUUUAAUACCUUAAAAGCUCAACCUGGGCUUGGUGCGGUGGCUCAUACCUGUAAUCCCAGGCCUUUGGGAGGCCAAGGUGGGAGGAUCACUUGAGCUCAGGAGUUCCAGACCAUUCCAAAGCAAAAACAAAAGGAUUUUGAGAUCAGUGUGGGCAACUUAGCAAAACACCAUCUCUAAAAAAAAAAAAAAAAAAAAAUUAGCCAAGCUUGGUGGUGUAAGCCUGUAGUCCCAGCUACUUGAGAGGCUGAGGUGGGAGGAUUGUUUGAACCCAGGAGGUUGAGGCUACAGUGAGCUGUGAUUGUGCCACUGCACUCCAGGUUGGGUAAUGCAGCGAGACUGCGUCUCAAAAAAUAAAUAAAAUAAAAAAUAAAUAAAAGCUCCACCUGUCUUCCUUUUAGAUGUUGCAUAGCAUUUCACACAGUAUUGAUGUAUUACAGCUCAACUAAAUUAAUCCCAGUAUCUAGCACGUGGGGUGGUGGGAAGGAUUAAGGGAGAUAAUAUAAGCCAAGUGCCCAGAACAAGGGCUUGGCACACCAGGCUCGCCUUGAACAAUUUGUUUUUUUGUUGUUUUGUGUGUGUGUGGUUUUUUUUUUUUGAGACAGCGUCUCAUUGCAUCACCGAGGUUGUAGUGCAGUGGUGCAAUCGUAGCUCACUACUGUCUCAGACACCUGGGAUCAAGCGAUCCUCCCACCUCAGCCUCCGGAGUAGCUGGGACUACACAUGCAUCACCACACCCCACUAAUUUUUAAAUUUUUUGUAGAGACAGAGUCUCAUUAUGUUGCCUAGGCUGGUCUCAAACUCCUGGCCUCAAUUAAUCCUCCUCCCUUGGCCUCCCAAAGUGCUGGGAUUACAGGGAUGAGCCACUGUACCUGGCAGCCUUGAGUGAUUUCUCACCUCCUCAUUGGCCCAGUUUCCUUAUCUGUAAAUGAGAGUAGCUGUAAAAUAUGGUUAAUGUGAGGACCAAACAGGUCAAUUAGGGAAAAGCAGUGUCUCUGCCAGCACCUGAC
rnacentral:lncRNA from 1 species